UGGCUCAUUAAAUCAGUCAUAAUNUACUCGUUAAAUCGUAUUCAAACGGAUAACUGUAGUAGUUCUAGAGCUAAUACGUGCACCGAAUGCCCCGACUUCGCGGAAGGGGAGCACUUGUUAUGUUCAAAACCAAUUACCUCCGGGUAUCCUGAUGANUCUAAACAAAUAAAGCGAAGCGCAGUAGGUUUCACCUGGCGCUAUAACGAUCGAGUAUCUGCCCUAUCAACUUGAUUGUAGUGUAUUGGACUACAAUGGUGAUAACGGGUGACGGGGAAUUAGGGUUCGAUUCCGGAGAGGGAGCCUUAGAGAUGGCUACCACUUCCAAGGAAGGCAGCAGGCGCGCAAAUUACCCAAUGCUAAUACGGCGAGGUAGUGACAAUAAAUAGCAAUCCUGGUUCCGAAAGGAGCUAGGAAUUGAAAUGAGAACAAUGUAAAUAAAUUAGC
rnacentral:rRNA from 1 species